UAAUUUCUGAUUUAUUCGGGUCAGAUUCAUCUGUAUUAACUUUGUUCAUCAGAGGGAUCUUAUAAACACUAUGUAGAGAACUCCACAUGCUUCCAGAUAAUUCUGCAACAAAUACAAAAAAAAACACAUGGAAGCAGAUCAUGGAUCAGACUAACUAACUAAGACCUGUAAAAGAAACACAUCAUCCAACAUGAUUGCUAAGAUGAUGGGUCACUCAAUCCAACAUGGCUGCAGAACUGCUUUCAGUAGAGUGUGCAGAAAUGAGUGAAAUAAAUAAAUUCAGAAGAUGAUCAUGAUGCAAUCACCACUUGAUUCAGCCUAUGGACCCAUGUUACCAUCUAUCGUCUCUCACAAAUCAUCAGUUAUAUCAUCAUGAAGUUAUGGAGAACAUCCAAAUUACAAAUAAUGUGCUAAACAUCCAAGUUAAAGUAAAGGUUGUGUGAUGGAUCAAUCAUGAGAUAAUGUAUUUAUAAGUGAUGAUAAAACUUGCCUUCUCUGCACCAUAGAAAGAGAAAUGAUUUACGUGCCAGUUUAUCUUUUAAUUUUUUGAUUGGUUGAGUUCUGUGAAGCUGCUGAUGUCUUCUCUGUUGACAUGUUUCCCUCCUACAGCCUUUUUGUAUUUCUUCCAAGUUUUAGACCUCAGUGACUGGAAACAACCAGUAUAUUUUGGUAAAGUGGUUUUCAUUUACUGAUUUGAAGGAGAUUUGGGAUCCUGUUGGAGGCUGGAGGUCUAGUCUUGUGGGGAGCUGUCUUUUUCCACCAGGAGGAGCCAUGAGGUCGCGGUUUGUUGGAGGGCGGCUCCCGUGCACCGGUGCGUAAUGGGCACAAUCAUCGCCCGCAUAAGAGGAGCGGACGACGGGUUCUCCAGCGCCAGAGUGUUAUACCAGUAAUGGUGCAUCUUUGUGACGUUGAGUAGUCGGCUUGUGAGAACCCAGUUCUGGCCUUGGAUUCCCUCCUUCGUGACGCCAGCACUCCCCUGUCCGCCCUCUACGUGUCUCCCUUCCGCGACCUCG